rnacentral:rRNA from 1 species
UACAGGGGGUGCGAGCGUUAAUCGGAAUUACUGGGUGUAAAGGGCGCGUAGGCGGCAGGACAUGUGUGAUGUGAAAGCCCCGGGCUUAACCUGGGAAGUGCAUUGCAAACUGUCCAGCUGGAGUACAUGAGAGGGUGGCGGAAUUUCCGGUGUAGCGGUGAAAUGCGUAGAGAUCGGAAGGAACGUCGAUGGCGAAGGCAGCCACCGUGGCAUGAUACUGACG